GGAUAUGAGGGUGAUCUGGCUGCAACAUCUGUCACCCCGCUGAUGGCCAGGGUUGACGUGGCUGAUCUGGCUGACUAGGCGGGUGUCCCCUCCCUCCCUCUGCUCCAUGUGUAUCCCUCCCGACUCUGCAUGCUCCGCUGAAGAGGAUGACCUUCCCUGACAGAGGAGAAAUGGUCUUUGGUCAAGGGUAUAUGAGCAGCUGUGCUGCCCUGCUAGAACCUCCACAAACAAGCUCUGAAGAUUAAAUGAGGUGUGUGUUGAGUGCUUAGAACCUGGGGGAAGAGUUUGGACCAUGCUCAGAAUUUUCAGAGCAAUAAUUC
ensembl:misc_RNA 7SK 7SK RNA